GACGAAGAGAAACUUUCUGUUCUGAAUGGUUCUGAUACUACUGUGGCGGUGGGCAAGAGUGUCAUUGAGGACGUAACUGCUUCUCAUAAGAGAAAAAGAGGAUCUCCAUGCUACUCUGAAAUGUUAAAUUGGCUUAAACAUGCAGCAAAACAUUCUAAUGAUCCUGAAAUUGGUCCAGUUCUUAAGUCUUUGAACUGGAAAGGUCAUACAGGCAAGGACUUCUGGUUCCAGGCCUUGGCGAUUAG
rnacentral:misc_RNA from 1 species